rnacentral:rRNA from 1 species
CACAUGCAAGUCGAACGGGACUCAGCCCUUCGGGACUGAGUUUAGUGGCGAACGGGUGAGUAACGCGUGAGGAACCUGCCUUUCAGUGGGGGACAACAGUUGGAAACGACUGCUAAUACCGCAUAAUGCUUUUUGAUGGCAUCAUUGAAAAGCCAAAGAUUUAUUGCUGAAAGAUGGCCUCGCGUCUGAUUAGCUAGUUGGUGAGGUAACGGCCCACCAAGGCGACGAUCAGUAGCCGGUCUGAGAGGAUGAACGGCCACAUUGGGACUGAGAUACGGCCCAGACUCCUACGGGAGGCAGCAGUGGGGAAUAUUGGGCAAUGGGGGAAACCCUGACCCAGCAACGCCGCGUGAAGGAAGAAGGCCUUCGGGUUGUAAACUUCUUUUACCAGGGACGAAAAAAGUGACGGUACCUGGAGAAAAAGCAACGGCUAACUACGUGCCAGCAGCCGCGGUAAUACGUAGGUUGCAAGCGUUGUCCGGAUUUACUGGGUGUAAAGGGCGUGUAGGCGGAGAUGCAAGUUGGGAGUGAAAUCCAUGGGCUCAACCCAUGAACUGCUCUCAAAACUGUAUCCCUUGAGUAUCGGAGAGGCAAGCGGAAUUCCUAGUGUAGCGGUGAAAUGCGUAGAUAUUAGGAGGAACACCAGUGGCGAAGGCGGCUUGCUGGACGACAACUGACGCUGAGGCGCGAAAGCGUGGGGAGCAAACAGGAUUAGAUACCCUGGUAGUCCACGCUGUAAACGAUGAAUACUAGGUGUGGGAGGACUGACCCCUUCCGUGCCGCAGUUAACACAAUAAGUAUUCCACCUGGGGAGUACGACCGCAAGGUUGAAACUCAAAGGAAUUGACGGG